rnacentral:lncRNA from 1 species
CCCAGGUGGAUAAUUUGUAUCUGAGCUCAGAAGGUUGAUUGCCAUUAUUCUGAGUCCAGUGGGAAUCCUGCUAGGACCCCUGGAUGAUGUGCCCCCCUGGUAGUCCCUCCCACUCAGCUCUUCCUGGAUUCUCACCAGUGCUCUGGAGUCACUCCACCUUACUGUUUACCACAGGUCAGAAUGGACAAUGAAUAAGCUCAAUGGACUGUCAGCCUCAAUAAUGGCACUGUUAGGAAUUCCAUGACUUCUGAAAAUGAUGUGAUUCCAAUCCAAGGUGUUGUGUAUCCCUACCAUGCAGAAGAAAGGAACGGUCACAUUCUCAGGAAAGUUAUGCAUGGGUACUGCAACUCCCCCCUCACCCAGAUAAAAUUUUCAGGUAAUUAUAUACUUUUGUUGUUGUUAUUUUUCUGGAUUAAUAAGCUCCAAACAACACCUUUGUUUCCUGGG